CUGGUGGGACCAGAAUGGGGUGGAACAACCCCUGGGAGUUGAUCCCUCCAUGGGAUGGAGACAUCAAUGGGAGACGAAUCCAAGGGGUCCCUCCAAAGCGCCCAAAGCCUCACCUGGGCUCCUUCAGGGUGAUGCUCUUGGUCUUGUUGCAGAUCUCGAUCACCACAGAGCAGCUCAGUGAUGACCCCAUCCUGGCUCAGGAUCUCCUCAGCUCUGGGAUCUCCUCAGCUCCCAAAUCUCCUCAGCUCCCAAAUCUCCUCAGCUCCCAAAUCUCCUCAGCUCUGGGAUCUCCUCAGCUCUGGGAUCUCCUCAGCUCCAGGAUCUCCUCAGCUCUGGGAUCUCCUCAGCUUCCAAAUCUCCUCAGCUCUGGGAUCUCCUCAGCUUCCAAAUCUCCUCAGCUCCAGGAUCUCCUCAGCUCUGGGAUCUCCUCAGCUCCCAAAUCUCCUCAGCUCCCAGGAUCUCCUCAGCUCUGGGAUCUCCUCAGCUCCGGGAUCUCCUCAGCUCCCAAAUCUCCUCAGCUCCCAGGAUCUCCUCAGCUCUGGGAUCUCCUCAGCUCCCAGAUCUCCCCAGCUCCGGGAUCUCCUCAGCUCUGGAUCUCCUCAACUCCAGGAUCUCCUCAGCUCCCAAAUCUCCUCAGCUCCCAAAUCUCCUCAGCUCUGGGAUCUCCUCAGCUCCCAAAUCUCCUCAGCUCUGGGAUCUCCUCAGCUCUGGGAUCUCCUCAGCUCCGGGAUCUCCUCAGCUCUGGGAUCUCCUCAG
rnacentral:lncRNA from 1 species